rnacentral:snRNA from 1 species
AUGCCUUGUGCUCGCACCAUACCUACUAAAAUUGGAACAAUAAAGAGAAGAUUAGCAUGGUCUC